GAUGAACGCUGGCGGCGUGCCUAACACAUGCAAGUCGAACGGAAGCUUAACGCUGACGAGACUUCGGUCAAAUCUUGUUAAGCUUUAGUGGCGGACGGGUGAGUAACGCGUGGGCAACCUGCCUCAUACUGGGGGAUAACAGUUGGAAACGACUGUUAAUACCGCAUAAGCGCACAGAGUCGCAUGACUCAGUGUGAAAAACUCCGGUGGUAUGAGAUGGGCCCGCGUCAGAUUAGCUAGUUGGCGGGGUAACGGCCCACCAAGGCGACGAUCUGUAGCCGGACUGAGAGGUCGGACGGCCACAUUGGGACUGAUACACGGCCCAAACUCCUACGGGAGGCAGCAGUGGGGGAUAUUGCACAAUGGAGGAAACUCUGAUGCAGCGACGCCGCGUGAGUGAAGAAGUAUUUCGGUAUGUAAAGCUCUAUCAGCAGGGAAGAAAGGCUCGCAAGAGAGAUGACGGUACCUGACUAAGAAGCCCCGGCUAACUACGUGCCAGCAGCCGCGGUAAUACGUAGGGGGCAAGCGUUAUCCGGAUUUACUGGGUGUAAAGGGAGCGCAGACGGUCAAGCAAGUAUGAAGUGAAACCCCACGGCUCAACCGUGGGCUUGCUUUGGAAACUGUUUGAUUAGAGUACUGGAGAGGUAAGCGGAAUUCCUAGUGUAGCGGUGAAAUGUGUAGAUAUUAUGAGGAACAUCGGUGAUGAAGGCGGAUUAUUUGGACAGCAACUGAACUUUGAGGAUAAGUAGGCUUGGGGAGCAAACAUGAUUAUGAUAACAUUGUAUGUCCCGGUAAUUUGUGCAGCAUAUCUUUGUUGUUAAAACGGCCGGCCCAGCUUUGCGUGCGUGGUCCGUCUUAGCCUGCGUUGGCACGCGCACGUUGUUCGACUUACUUAUAUAACCCGGG
rnacentral:rRNA from 1 species